GAGCGGCGCCGGCAAGGGAGGGCGGCGGGUGGCAGGCUGGACGCUUCUCCCAUACGAAGAUUGUUCCUCCGCCACUGGCAGACACGGAGUAACUUCACCGAAGUUAAUUUAGACCUUCAGUUCAGGUACUUGAGGUCAACACAUGCAGCCCUGUCAUGCCAGUUAAAAGGAUAGAGGGAGGAGAAUUUCCCCUCAAUCACAUCUCACUUAGAAGAGACUGACAGACUUACAAAUGACAAGUGACAGCCCAGCCUUUGCCUCAGACAGAAGACCAACCCAUUGAAGCAGUGGUGAGAGAUCUUCCCACUGCAAGACAAGUUGCAGCCAUGAGCUCAUCAUGCACAUCCAUGGACUCCAUCAUGUUCCAUAUCCCUCUAAUGUAACCAGCACCCUGGCCUUAGGAUGACAUUUAGGGGUACCUUACAUGAUUAUCCUUGUACACAAAUCUAUGCAUUUUGAGAUACUGAUUUAUAAAUAAAUAAGCAUAUAAACUCCUGAUUUAUAAAUAAUAUCUAAAGUAAGAAACUAAUUUUAUAAACAUGGUUAUACCUGAUUAAACUCCUCUGACUCAAUAAGACUGCUCAAUGGGAGUAAAAAAUGUGCAUAAGAAAUUGUGUUGUCUGGAACUGGGUUAAGAACUUCUGGAAAUGAAUAUAAAAGUAUUGCAUUCAAGACUGAUUUCUUCUUUAUACUUUCCAAAAAACAUUAUUAUCAAAUGCAUUAAUCUUGUCAGUCCAUUAAAAUAUUUCACAACUUUUAAAAGGUUUUGAGAUUAAAAAAAUUAACCCCCCACCUAUUGAUAAUAACUGUCUUUCUAAAUCCAAAUUCUUAUAAGACCUAAUCAAUAGGUUUACUCAGAAACAGCUGACACCACUUAAAACUAUGUUAAUUAACACAGAUU